AUUAGAAAACGGGAGAGUUUAUUUUAACAGGUAUGCGAAGUAAUCCAGACCAGGCUCAUCACAUCAAGCUGACAGGAGGGGCGAGCAGCACUUUGGAGUGUGUGGCAAGUACCAGAGAAGUGAGGCUUGCCCCGAGCCUAGAAGAGCCAGCAGAAGUGGAGCCCGCUUGUGCUCGGCAGUAGAUGAAUGAGAGAGGAUAGUGUAUUUCUGAAAUCAUAACUCACUCCUAGUCCCGAAGUAUAGUUAGUAUUCCCACAGGAGAGCGGUGGGAGACAUCUGACAAACCCAGGCUGUAUCAUGAAGUUCGUAGUAGACUUUGUGAAGGAGUUUCAACUCUGCUAGAGAGAAAAGGGAGCCAUUAAAGGCCAGUAAGCUUUUUUCUCUAAUUCAUUUAAUAUAUCUGGACAGAAAUUAAGGACUGAGAGACUGCAGUUAGGUGAAUGCCAUCAAAAUCUAGCCGGCCCAGCCAAUCCCCCCAACCAAAAAAAAAAAAAAAAGAGAGAGAAAAUCCUAGUAUAUGGCUGUGGCCUUGGGAAAAAGCAAGUCAGCCUAGACUGAUACAGUUGGUCACUGAAACCUGCUAGUUUCGUUUGCUAAAUAAUUGUCCAUUCCCACCUGAAAUCAAGGGUAGUCAUUAACCUGUAACUUGUUUAAUAAAUAAUGAACUUAACCUGCCCUCGCUGAUCAAGCUCACUUCAAUUGUUUUUUAUACAAAAACUUGCCUGUCCUCCAAGCAAGUAGUAAGACGUUUGCCCAAGUGGUUGUUCAGGAACUUGGAGUCAGCUGUGCCUGGUUAGAGCUCCAGCUGGUUUAAGACUGGCUGGGACCAACAAACCUCCAAUUGGGUAAAUCCAAGUGUAUGACCCAUGACCUUUUGACGUCAGAGGGCCCAAAACUCCACCCCCAGGGCGUGCGCCCUGUGUUCCGUGUAGCUUAGCUGCGCCUGCGCAGAAUGAGGAGUUCGCCAUCUUUUCCUCAUCUUCCAAUCACCAGGAUCCCCACGCCUCAGCUUUAUCCCGUAAGUACCUCUGGCUUCUCGGGUUCUGGGAGGUGGAUUUGAGGCUGCUUUGACAUCUCGCUUUCCCAUCUCGUGGAUAAACCCCUUGUCUGCUGCAAACCUCGGCGUCUCAGUGUUUGGCUUGCUGCGCAUCUGGCAAAUGAACCUGGUUCCGUGAAGCGACGCCCCCACCGCUAUUGCAGGCUCAUUUUGCUUUCUGAAAAAAGAAAAGGAAGUUGUCACUGGAAAACGCCUUAUGAUGCAUUUCUGCCGCCAUAACUGAAAUGAGGUUGCCAAAAGGGUCAAGAAACUUUCACCUGCUCAGAGCAAGAGAGUAAUAGUUAGCAGGGAAAAACAGAGACCAAUGCUGUAAUGAGGAAGCAUAGUCUGUGAGUGGCUCACAGUGAAGUCCCUCCCCAACAUUUACCCUCAACCCAAGGAAGAAGCAGCUGCCUUACCCGGGUUACACCUCUUCCCCAGGGGACAGUCCUCAUCCAGUAGCUAGAGAAUGUACAAGGGAGGGGAGUGUACAUAGCCUGCACCCCACCCCACCCCCCACACGGGGGCAACUCUGAGACUUCCGUUGCAGCUGCAUUCCACUUUGACUUCUUCCACUGCAGUCUUGUCCUGUCCUCACUGCUUUACUGUAGUCCCCUCAAGUGAGUCCUAGUAAA